CCUUGUGUUUAAAUUCAUAGAUUUCUAUUUACUUAUACUAACGUUAUGGUGCGAAAACCAAGAAAAAUGCUUAUUUGGGUCCCUUUUUGGCCCCUAAUUCCUAAACUGUUGGGACCUAAACUCCCAAAAUCAAUACCAACCUUCCUUUUGUAGUCAUUAACAUUGUGUUUAAAUUUCAUUGAUUUCUAUUUACUUAAACUAAAGUUAUUGUGCGAAAACCAAGAAUAAUGCUUAUUUGGGCCCUUUUUUGGCCCCUAAUUCCUAAACUGUUGAAACCAAAACUCCCAAAAUCAAUCCCAACCGUUCUUUUGUGGUCAUAAACCUUGUGUCAAAAUUUCAUAGAUUUCUAUUAACUUAAACUAAAGUUAUAAUGCGAAAACCAAGAAUAUGCUUAUUUGAGCCCUUUUUGGCCCCUAAUUCCUAAAAUGUUGGGACCAAAACUCCCAAAAUCAAUACCAACCUUCCUUUUGUGGUCAUAAACCUUGUGUUAAAAUUUCAUAGAUUUCCAUUCACUUUUACUAAAGUUAGAGUGCGAAAACUAAAAGUAUUCGGACGACGACGCAGACGACGACGCCAACGUGAUAGCAAUAUACGACGAAAAAUUUUUCAAAUUUUGCGGUCGUAUAAAAAUGGAGUUGAGGCAUUAUCAAAUUUAAGUGAAGAUUCUGUGCCUGAAAACUGUUUUUUUAUGACUUGGUAUAAAUUUUUGCCAACCCCUAAUUUAGCCAAUUUGAACACAAGACAAUCUCUCCAAACAGAGUCAAAAUGCUCCUUUUAAGUCCACAAAACAUGCAUAUAUAUUUUUAUUAUUUUUAUGCAG
rnacentral:lncRNA from 1 species